rnacentral:rRNA from 1 species
GACGAACGCUGGCGGCGUGCCUAAUACAUGCAAGUAGAACGCACAGUUUAUACCGUAGCUUGCUACACCAUAAACUGUGAGUUGCGAACGGGUGAGUAACGCGUAGGUAACCUGCCUGGUAGCGGGGGAUAACUAUUGGAAACGAUAGCUAAUACCGCAUAAUAUUGAUUAUUGCAUGAUAAUUGAUUGAAAGAUGCUAUUGCAUCACUACCAGAUGGACCUGCGUUGUAUUAGCUAGUAGGUGAGGUAACGGCUCACCUAGGCGACGAUACAUAGCCGACCUGAGAGGGUGAUCGGCCACACUGGGACUGAGACACGGCCCAGACUCCUACGGGAGGCAGCAGUAGGGAAUCUUCGGCAAUGGACGAAAGUCUGACCGAGCAACGCCGCGUGAGUGAAGAAGGUUGUCGGAUCGUAAAGCUCUGUUGUAAGAGAAGAACGGGUGUGAGAGUGGGAAGUUCACACUGUGACGGUAUCUUACCAGAAAGGGACGGCUAACUACGUG